UACGGAGGGUGCAAGCGUUAUCCGGAUUUAUUGGGUUUAAAGGGUGCGUAGGCGGUUUGAUAAGUCAGCGGUGAAAUAUUUCAGCUUAACUGGAAGGGUGCCGUUGAUACUGUCGAGCUUGAAUUUAGUUGCUGUGGGUGGAAUGUGUGGUGUAGCGGUGAAAUGCAUAGAUAUCACACAGAAUAUCGAUUGCGAAGGCAGCUCACAAAGCUAAUAUUGACGCUGAUGCACGAAAGUGUGGGGAUCAAACAGGAUUAGAUACCCUGGUAGUCCACACUGUAAACGAUGAUAACUCGCUGUCGGCGAUACACAGUCGGUGGCCAAGCGAAAGCGAUAAGUUAUCCACCUGGGGAGUACGACCGCAAGGUUGAA
rnacentral:rRNA from 1 species